rnacentral:rRNA from 1 species
CUAGUAAUGGCAGGUCAGCAUACUGCCGUGAAUACGUUCCCGGGCCUUGUACACACCGCCCGUCACACCAUGAGAGUUGGGAAUACCCGAAGCCUGUGAGCUAACGUUAAGAGGCAGCAGUCGAAGGUAGAAUCAAUGAUUGGGGUGAAGUCGUAACAAGGUAAC